CUACGGGUGGCUGCAGUGGGGAAUAUUGCGCAAUGGGCGAAAGCCUGACGCAGCAACGCCGCGUGAGGGAUGACGGCCUUCGGGUUGUAAACCUCUUUCAGCAGGGAAGAAGCGAAAGUGACGGUACCUGCAGAAGAAGCACCGGCUAACUACGUGCCAGCAGCCGCGGUAAUACGUAGGGUGCAAGCGUUGUCCGGAUUUAUUGGGCGUAAAGAGCUCGUAGGCGGUUAGUCACGUCGGAUGUGAAAUCCCAAGGCUUAACCUUGGGUCUGCAUUCGAUACGGGCUGACUAGAGUGUUGUAGGGGAGACUGGAACUCCUGGUGUAGCGGUGAAAUGCGCAGAUAUCAGGAAGAACACCGGUGGCGAAGGCGGGUCUCUGGGCAACUACUGACGCUGAGGAGCGAAAGCGUGGGGAGCAAACAGGAUUAGAUACCCCUGUAGUC
rnacentral:rRNA from 1 species